rnacentral:lncRNA from 1 species
AAUAUUUUCAUUAUCUUCAUCUAAAUUAACCUCAUCUACUUCAUUUUCUUCUUCUAUACCGUAAUUUUCCUGAGCUUCUACAUAAUCCAUAUCGUGAGCACCUACACCUAUUUCUUCCUCAAAAGGUGUACCAAGCGGUACCGGAGGUGAAGGCACAGGGUAUAUCUACUAUUUGAACUACCUCUACAGCGAGUAAUUCUCUUUUUACUACCACUACCGCUUCCGGGACAAAAAAUUUUAACACCUUUAGUAGCGAGGUUUCUUAAUUUAUCCAUAAUAUAAAUUAAAUUAAACUAAAAAUAUUCAAAAUACACAAAUAUAAUAAAAUUAAAUAUUAAAUAAUUAAUACAAUAAAUAAAAAUUAAACGUAAGAGAUGGAACGACAAUACCAAAUUUUGGAAGUAUUCGAAGAUUGCGACUUUAGAAACUUCCGCUCGUACUUUGUAAACGAAAAAUUAAAAAAUUAAAGUGAACACUUUAAGAAAUUAAAUAUAUUGAAUAUUUGAGAAUUGAGAAUUGAGAUUUGAGAGAAAAUGAGAUUUGAGAGAGUGAAAAAUUAUGUGAAAAAUGAUUUGAAG